rnacentral:rRNA from 1 species
AUACGUAGGGGGCAAGCGUUAUCCGGAAUCACUGGGCGUAAAGGGUGCGUAGGUGGCUUAUCAAGCCAGGGGUGAAAGGCAUUGGCUCAACCAAUGUAAGCCUUUGGAACUGAUAGGCUUGAGUGCAGGAGAGGUAAGUGGAAUUCCUAGUGUAGAGGUGAAAUUCGUAGAUAUUAGGAGGAACACCAGUGGCGAAGGCGACUUACUGGACUGUAACUGACACUGAGGCACGAUAGCGUGGGGAGC